AAAAUUACUGUGCAAAGGUUAAACCCAUCAUUCGAAUCACAAACGCAUGACAACUCUAGCCUAGCAAAAACGAUCUGCCCAGGUAUCCCUAAUAUUGUGGACAUUGAACAUGAAGUUGAGAUGGAACAGGAUCUGGAACCCUUAAUAUCUGCUAUCUGGAAACUUGGAAGGAGGGUUAUGGAACUGGGGGUGAUAUGACAGAUGCUCUAAAAUGUCCAUGCCAUUUCAGCAGCUCUUUCAUGCUGUGGAUAUCCUAACUUAUGGAUCAUCAGCUACCAUUAAGAGAGCGGGAACAUCAUGAUCAUAUAAGCAAUGAGACGAGAAAAGUUUUCAACUUUUUCCACAAAGAACAAUCAAUAAACAGGCAGACAAAAUUCCAGGUCUAAAAAUAAAUGGAAUGAAGGUGUACAAUAACAAGUGAACAUAGAAGUUUCUCUUGUAACAAUCAGAAUUAGACUAAAGUUUUCAGUAACGACAAGAAAAGUGUAGUCACUGGAUACACUAUCAUUU